UGCAGCUUGAGGUGAGACCCUCUGAAUUUUAUCAUGGCAGCCAGACAAAAAUGAUUAACACAAGACUUCUGCCUUGGGACUAGUGUCAGCUGGAAGAAUAUCAAAUCUGGGGACAAAGGAGAAGGAGAAAAGAAAUAUUUUUUUUCCCCAGAAUGAUUUAUCACCAGCUAUUUGAGUCUGACCAGAUGGCUGCAAUGUUGGAAGCUGUCUUGAGGAAGGAGAAUUUAUUUACUUAAAGAGCCUGUGUCUUCCAUGAACUCCUUGGAUGGGCACUGCAUCUUCUCUUCAGCCUGUCUCUGACCCCAGCUCCUCUUGAUUCUGUCUGGAGCCCGCGGCUGGACGCUGGACCUGGUACACUGCCCAUGUCAGGGGUUGUUGAUGGCUCCCAUUCCCAGCUCCCAGAUCUGCCGACCAUGGUCCAACCCUGUGGGACUGCACCCAUCAGCGAGGGCAUGGUCCUGCUACAAUGGGUGUCUUGCCCCCCCUCAGUCACUCCGAGGGACUGAAGAGGCCACGACAUCCCUCUGCAGUUAAUGCUCUGAUGGAUACUCCCUUGCACCUGAUUAGAUCAGUAAAGCAGAAACCAGUGCACAUUGUUGUUAAA